rnacentral:rRNA from 1 species
AGAGUUUGAUCCUGGCUCAGGAUGAACGCUAGCGGCAGGCCUAACACAUGCAAGUCGAGGGGCAGCACGGGUAGCAAUACUUGGUGGCGACCGGCGCACGGGUGCGUAACGCGUAUGCAAUCUACCUUUAACUAAGGCAUAGCCCGGGGAAACUCGGAUUAAUACCUUAUAACAUUAGUUUUUGGCAUCAUUAACUAAUUAAAGCUCUGGCGGUUAAAGAUGAGCAUGCGUGACAUUAGCUAGUUGGUAAGGUAACGGCUUACCAAGGCUACGAUGUCUAGGGGUUCUGAGAGGAUGAUCCCCCACACUGGUACUGAGACACGGACCAGACUCCUACGGGAGGCAGCAGUGAGGAAUAUUGGUCAAUGGACGCAAGUCUGAACCAGCCAUGCCGCGUGCAGGAUGACAGCCUUAUGGGUUGUAAACUGCUUUUAUAUGGGAAUAAACCCCUCUACGUGUAGAGGGCUGCAUGUACCAUACGAAUAAGGAUCGGCUAACUCCGUGCCAGCAGCCGCGGUAAUACGGAGGAUCCAAGCGUUAUCCGGAUUUAUUGGGUUUAAAGGGUGCGUAGGCGGAUUAAUAAGUCAGUGGUGAAAUCCUGCAGCUUAACUGUAGAACUGCCAUUGAUACUGUUAGUCUUGAGUAUAGUUGAGGUAGGCGGAAUGUGUAAUGUAGCGGUGAAAUGCUUAGAUAUUACACAGAACACCGAUUGCGUAGGCAGCUUACUAAACUAUAACUGACGCUGAUGCACGAAAGCGUGGGGAGCAAACAGGAUUAGAUACCCUGGUAGUCCACGCCGUAAACGAUGAUUACUCGUUGUGUGCGAUACACCGUACGUGACUGAGCGAAAGCAUUAAGUAAUCCACCUGGGGAGUACGUUCGCAAGAAUGAAACUCAAAGGAAAUGACGGGGGCCCGCACAAGCGGAGGAACAUGUGGUUUAAUUCGAUGAUACGCGAGGAACCUUACCUGGACUUAAAUGUAGGACGCUUUACAGGGAAACUUGUAUUUCUUCGGACGGCCUACAAGGUGCUGCAUGGUUGUCGUCAGCUCGUGCCGUGAGGUGUCGGGUUAAGUCCCAUAACGAGCGCAACCCCUAUCGUUAGUUGCCAGCGAGUGAAGUCGGGGACUCUAACGAAACUGCCUGGGUAACCAGUGAGGAAGGUGGGGAUGACGUCAAAUCAGCACGGCCCUUACGUCCAGGGCUACACACGAGUUACAAUGGUCGGUACAGAGGGCAGCUACUUGGUGACAAGAUGCUAAUCUCGAAAGCCGAUCUCAGUUCGGAUCGUAGUCUGCAACUCGACUACGUGAAGCUGGAUUCGCUAGUAAUCGCGCAUCAGCCACGGCGCGGUGAAUACGUUCCCGGGCCUUGUACACACCGCCCGUCAAACCAUGGAAGCUGGGGGUACCUGAAGUCUGUCACCGCAAGGAGCGGCCUAGGGUAAAACU